rnacentral:rRNA from 1 species
GCUCAGGAUGAACGCUAGCUACAGGCUUAACACAUGCAAGUCGAGGGGUAGCAGGGUAGCAAUACCGCUGACGACCGGCGCACGGGUGGGUAACACGUAUCCAACCUUCCCAUAACUCGGGGAUAGCCUUUCGAAAGAAAGAUUAAUACCCGAUAGUACUUAUAUAAGGCAUCUUAAAUAAGUUAAAGAUUUAUUGGUUAUGGAUGGGGAUGCGUUCCAUUAGAUAGUUGGUGAGGUAACGGCUCACCAAGUCUUCGAUGGAUAGGGGUUCUGAGAGGAAGGUCCCCCACAUUGGUACUGAGACACGGACCAAACUCCUACGGGAGGCAGCAGUGAGGAAUAUUGGUCAAUGGGCGAGAGCCUGAACCAGCC